CCUGGUGACCAUAGCGAGUCGGAACCACCCCUUCCCAUCCCGAACAGGACCGUGAAACGACUUUGCGCCGAUGAUAGUGCGGAUACCCGUGUGAAAGUAGGUCAUCGCCAGGCUCUUAUGCCCCAAAACCCCUCGACAGCU
rnacentral:rRNA from 1 species